rnacentral:rRNA from 1 species
GACGAAAAAUGAAUACCAAGUCUCAAGAGUGAACACGUAAUUCAUUACGAAGUUUAAUUCAUUGAGCAUCAAACUUUUAAAUUGAAGAGUUUGAUCAUGGCUCAGAUUGAACGCUGGCGGCAGGCCUAACACAUGCAAGUCGAACGGUAACAGGAAGCAGCUUGCUGCUUUGCUGACGAGUGGCGGACGGGUGAGUAAUGUCUGGGAAACUGCCUGAUGGAGGGGGAUAACUACUGGAAACGGUGGCUAAUACCGCAUAACGUCGCAAGACCAAAGAGGGGGACCUUCGGGCCUCUUGCCAUCAGAUGUGCCCAGAUGGGAUUAGCUUGUUGGUGAGGUAACGGCUCACCAAGGCGACGAUCCCUAGCUGGUCUGAGAGGAUGACCAGCCACACUGGAACUGAGACACGGUCCAGACUCCUACGGGAGGCAGCAGUGGGGAAUAUUGCACAAUGGGCGCAAGCCUGAUGCAGCCAUGCCGCGUGUAUGAAGAAGGCCUUCGGGUUGUAAAGUACUUUCAGCGGGGAGGAAGGUGUUGUGGUUAAUAACCGCAGCAAUUGACGUUACCCGCAGAAGAAGCACCGGCUAACUCCGUGCCAGCAGCCGCGGUAAUACGGAGGGUGCAAGCGUUAAUCGGAAUUACUGGGCGUAAAGCGCACGCAGGCGGUCUGUCAAGUCGGAUGUGAAAUCCCCGGGCUCAACCUGGGAACUGCAUUCGAAACUGGCAGGCUUGAGUCUUGUAGAGGGGGGUAGAAUUCCAGGUGUAGCGGUGAAAUGCGUAGAGAUCUGGAGGAAUACCGGUGGCGAAGGCGGCCCCCUGGACAAAGACUGACGCUCAGGUGCGAAAGCGUGGGGAGCAAACAGGAUUAGAUACCCUGGUAGUCCACGCCGUAAACGAUGUCUACUUGGAGGUUGUGCCCUUGAGGCGUGGCUUCCGGAGCUAACGCGUUAAGUAGACCGCCUGGGGAGUACGGCCGCAAGGUUAAAACUCAAAUGAAUUGACGGGGGCCCGCACAAGCGGUGGAGCAUGUGGUUUAAUUCGAUGCAACGCGAAGAACCUUACCUGGUCUUGACAUCCACGGAAGUUUUCAGAGAUGAGAAUGUGCCUUCGGGAACCGUGAGACAGGUGCUGCAUGGCUGUCGUCAGCUCGUGUUGUGAAAUGUUGGGUUAAGUCCCGCAACGAGCGCAACCCUUAUCCUUUGUUGCCAGCGGUCCGGCCGGGAACUCAAAGGAGACUGCCAGUGAUAAACUGGAGGAAGGUGGGGAUGACGUCAAGUCAUCAUGGCCCUUACGACCAGGGCUACACACGUGCUACAAUGGCGCAUACAAAGAGAAGCGACCUCGCGAGAGCAAGCGGACCUCAUAAAGUGCGUCGUAGUCCGGAUUGGAGUCUGCAACUCGACUCCAUGAAGUCGGAAUCGCUAGUAAUCGUGGAUCAGAAUGCCACGGUGAAUACGUUCCCGGGCCUUGUACACACCGCNNNNNNNNNNNNNNNNNNNNCGUCACACCAUGGGAGUGGGUUGCAAAAGAAGUAGGUAGCUUAACCUUCGGGAGGGCGCUUACCACUUUGUGAUUCAUGACUGGGGUGAAGUCGUAACAAGGUAACCGUAGGGGAACCUGCGGUUGGAUCACCUCCUUACCUUAAAGAAGCGUACUUUGCAGUGCUCACACAGAUUGUCUGAUGAAAA